GGUGAGUGGCGCAGUUUGGUAGCGCACUUGGUUUGGGUCCAAGGGGUCGCAGGUUCAAAU
rnacentral:tRNA from 1 species